ensembl:lncRNA
GUAGCAUCUUGCAGGUGAUCCCUUUGGGACACUGGAUGUCCCCACAGGAGGGUUGCCUGACGGUGCUCUUGCUUGGCACACACCGUGGCCAACCAUUGACCAUUUGGCACUCAGUUCCCUUCUGGCAGUAGAUGUCACUGCAGGAGGGCUGGUUCUGCACACAGUGGGGCCACCCAUCUGUCAUCCUACAUGAGCUCCCUUUGGGACACUGCAUGUCCUUGCAAGAAGGCUGCUUUGGGACCACCUUGGGUUCGAUACAUCGAGGCCAUCCAUCCACCAUCUCACACACUGUACCCUUGGAGCACCGAACGUCACUGCAGGUGGGUCUCCUGAUAGAGGUCUUGAUUUGGACACAAUGAGGCCAUCCAUCCACCAUCUGGCACACGGUUCCCAUCUGACACUGAACAUCCUGGCAUGAGGGCUGGUUCUGAACACAAUGGGGCCACCCAUCUCUGAUCCUACACGACGUCCCUUUGGGACACUGCAUGUCCUUGCAAGAAGGCUGCCUUGGGACCACCUUGGGUUGAACACAUUGAGGCCAUCCAUCCACCAUCUCACACACCAUCCCCUUGGAGCACCGAACGUCACUACAGGUGGGUCUCCUGAUGGAAGUCUUUAUCUGGACACACUGAGGCCAACCAUUCACCAUCAGACACUCCGUUCCCUUUUGGCAUUGGACAUCCUGGCAGGAGGGCUGGUUCUGCACACAAUGGGGCCAUCCAUCUGUCAUCCUACACGACGUCCCUUUGGGACACUGUAUGUCCUUGCAAGAAGGCUGCAUUGGGACCACCUUGGGUUGAACACAUUGAGGCCAUCCAUCCACCAUCUCACACACUGUCCCCUUGGAGCACCGAACAUCGCUACAGGUGGGUCUCCUGAUAGAGGUCUUGAUUUGGACACAAUGAGGCCAUCCAUCGACCAUCUGGCACACGGUUCCCUUCUGACAUUGGACAUCCUGGCAGGACGGCUGGUUCUGCACACAGUGGGGCCACCCAUCUGUCAUCCUACACGACGUCCCUUUGGGACACUGUAUGUCCUUGCAAGAAGGCUGCUUUGGGACCACCUUGGGUUGCAAACAUUGAGGCCAUCCAUCCACCAUCUCACACACCGUCCCCUUGGAGCACCGAACAUCACUACAGGUGGGUCUCCUGACAGAGGUCUUGAUUUGGACACAAUGAGGCCAUCCAUCCACCAUCUGGCACACGGUUCCCAUCUGACACUGAACAUCCUGGCAUGAGGGCUGGUUCUGAACACAAUGGGGCCAUCCAUCUGUCAUCCUACACGACGUCCCUUUGGGACACUGCAUGUCCUUGCAAGAAGGCUGCUUUGGGACCACCUUGGGUUGAACGCAUUGAGGCCAUCCAUCCACUAUCUGACACACCGUCCCCUUGGAGCACCGAACGUCACUGCAGGUGGGUCUCCUGAUAGAGGUCUUGAUUUGGACACAAUGAGGCCAUCCAUCCACCAUCUGGCACACGGUUCCCUUCUGACACUGAACAUCCUGGCAGGACGGCUGGUUCUGAACACAGUGGGGCCACCCAUCUGUCAUCCUACAUGAGGACCCCUUGGGACACUGCAUGUCCUUGCAAGAAGGCUGCCUUGGGACCACCUUGGGUUGAACACAUCGAGGCCAUCCAUCCACCAUCUCACACACCAUCCCCUUGGAGCACCGAACAUCACUACAGGUGGGUCUCCUGAUGGAACUCUUCAUCUGGACACAAUGAGGCCAUCCAUCCACCAUCUGGCACACGGUUCCCUUCUGACACUGAACAUCCUGGCAGGAGGGCUGGUUCUGCACACAGUGGGGCCACCCAUCUGUCAUUCUGCAUGAGGUCCCUUUUGGGCACUGCAUGUCCCUGCAUGAAGGUUGCCUUGGGGCCACCUUGGGUUGAAGACACUGAGGCCAUCCAUCCACCAUCUGACACACCGUCCCCUUGGAGCACCGAACAUCACUACAGGUGGGUCUCCUGAUAGAGGUCUUGAUUUGAACACACUGGGGCCAACCAUCCACCAUCUGGCACACAGUUCCCUUCUGACAUUGGAUAUCAUGACAGGAGGGCUGGUUCUGCACACAGUGGGGCCACCCAUCUGUCAUCCUACACGACGCCCCCUUGGGACACUGCAUGUCCUUGCAAGAAGGCUGCCUUUGGGCCACCUUGAGUUGAACACAUUGAGGCCAUCCAUCCACCAUCUGACACACUGAACCUUUGGAGCACCGAACGUCACUACAGGUGGGUCUCCUGAUGGAAGACUUUGUCUGGACACACUGAGGCCAACCAUUGACCAUCAGACACUCCGUUCCCUUCUGACAUUGGACAUCCUGGCAGGAGGGCUGGUUCUGCACACAGUGGGGCCAUCCAUCUCUUAUCCUACAUGAG